rnacentral:lncRNA from 1 species
CUUGAACAUAAAGGAAGCCACAAAAAUAAGUUGGAGGCUGGCCAGAGGCAGGACCAGGUAAGGCAGGAGAGAGAUGGACACUCUGACCUGCAAAUGUCUCUUCAUCCUGGAAAGUGAGAUUCUGCUUUUUACCAGCUUCCCUUUCAGGCUGGCCAGUGUGAGGCACGCAGCUCUCGGGAACACUCUUGGAGUGUCUCAAGGAAGCCCUGCUCUGCAAACCUGGAGUCAGCACAGCUCUAUUUCACUGUCACUUCUGACUGCUGAGGGGGACUUGCAGGUCUUCUGCCUGUUGGGAAGAGAGCUGCUGAAAAACAUCUCCUUCUGA